GUGGUACGUUAAGCACAUAUACUAAAAUUGGAAUGAUAUGGAGAAGAUUAGCAUGGUCCCUGCACAGGGAUAACAUACAAAUUCAUGAAGCUCCAUAUUUAA
rnacentral:snRNA from 1 species